CGCGGACAGUGCCUGGUGGGUAGUUUGACUGGGGCGGUCUCCUCCCAAAGAGUAACGGAGGAGCACGAAGGUUGGCUAAUCCUGGUCGGACAUCAGGAGGUUAGUGCAAUGGCAUAAGCCAGCUUAACUGCGAGACGGACAGGUCGAGCAGGUACGAAAGUAGGUCAUAGUGAUCCGGUGGUUCUGAAUGGAAGGGCCAUCGCUCAACGGAUAAAAGGUACUCCGGGGAUAACAGGCUGAUACCGCCCAAGAGUUCAUAUCGACGGCGGUGUUUGGCACCUCGAUGUCGGCUCAUCACAUCCUGGGGCUGAAGUCGGUCCCAAGGGUAUGGCUGUUCGCCAUUUAAAGUGGUACGCGAGCUGGGUUCAGAACGUCGUGAGACAGUUCGGUCCCUAUCUGCCGUGGGCGUUGGAUGAUUGAAGGGAGUUGCUCCUAGUACGAGAGGACCGGAGUGAACGAACCUCUGGUGUUCGGGUUGUCACGCCAGUGGCACUGCCCGGUAGCUAAGUUCGGAAUCGAUAACCGCUGAAAGCAUCUAAGCGGGAAGCGAGCCCUGAGAUGAGUCAUCCCUGACCCCUUGAGGGUCCUAAAGGGCCGUUGGAGACCACAACGUUGAUAGGUGGGGUGUGUAAGCGCGGCGACGUGUUGAGCUAACCCAUACUAAUUACCCGUGAGGCUUAACCAU
rnacentral:rRNA from 1 species